UUUUUUUUUUUUUUUUUUUUUUUUUGCAAUUCCAGUUUUAUAAAAAGAGUUACAGAAACUGCUGCCUGCAGAUGAAGAGUUAAAUUGAAGA
rnacentral:ribozyme from 14 species